rnacentral:rRNA from 1 species
GAUGAACGCUGGCUGUGUGCCUAAUACAUGCAUGUCGAACGAAGCACUUGUGCUUAGUGGCGAAUGGGUGAGUAACACGUACUUAAUCUACCUCUAGGUUUGGGACAACAGUUGGAAACGACUGCUAAUACCGGAUACGCUAUUUGAAGGCAUCUUCGAAUAAUGAAAGGACCGUUUGGUCCGCCAAGGGAUGGGAGUGCGGUACAUUAGGUAGUUGGUAGGGUAAUGGCCUACCAAGCCAAUGAUGUAUAGCGGGGUUGAGAAGCUGAUCCGCCACAAUGGGACUGAGAUACGGCCCAUACUUCUACGGAAGGCAGCAGUAGGGAAUUUUCCACAAUGAGCGAAAGCUUGAUGGAGCGACACAGCGUGCAGGAUGAAGCCCUUCGGGGUGUAAACUGCUGUUAUAGGGGAAGAAAAAACCAAGAUUAGGAAAUGAAUUUGGCUUGACGGUACCCUAUCAGAAAGCACCGGC